UGGAAGAACAUCAUAUGCCGUUUUGGUAUCCCCAAAGAAAUCAGCUGCAAUAAUGGGCGCUAGUUCAUCGGUCAGAAAACAACUGAGUUCUUCGAAAAUGGCGCAUCAAAAGAAUACUAUCCACUCCAUACCACCCCGCCGCCAAAGGUCAAGCGGAGUCCUCCAACAAAACAAUCCUGAACAUACUCAAAAAGAAGCUCGAAGAUGCCAAGGGAGUAUGGCCCGAGCUACUACCCGAUGUCUUGUGGGCACACAGAACCACACCCAAAGCACCGGAGAAACCCCGUACUCACUGGUUUAUGGAACCGAUGCGGUCAUACCUGUCGAAGUGGACAAACCUAUCUUAAGGUACUCACAUACCAGCGGAUCGAAAAAUGACAUCGGCAGACUCCAAGAUCUUGAUGAGGCAGAAGUGGGCGAACCCAGCUUAAGGUACUCACACACUAGAGGAUCGGAUAACGACAUCAGCAGGCUCCAAGAUCUCGAUGAAGCCGAAGAAAUAAGAGAAAUGGCCCACGUCGGAAUGGCAGCUCAGAAACAACAAGUCGAAAGAUACUACAACAAAAAGGGCAAAAAUAAGGCUGCUCAAAGUAGGGGAUUACGUCCUGAAAGCCAAGACUCUGGCCUCAAAAGACCCAAGUGAAGGAAAAUUGGGCACAAACUGGGAUGGA
rnacentral:lncRNA from 1 species